AUGUAUCAUUUACGCCAAAUUUUAGAAAUAAAAGCACUGUUCUACAAUCUGUGCUAAAAUCAUUUUCAUUUAUUAAAAUCUAAAAAUGACAUAACUUGCAUGUUCUCUUGUGGAACAAAUUGCAAAUGGAUUUCACAGUGUUUCAUCUCAGACCUCUGUGGCCUUUUUAGGCCUUAGCCUACACCAGCCCAGUUUUAAACUUUUUAUUUCGUUUAUUUCAAUUUAUUUAAAGAUAACUUUUACAGCACAGCGCAGAUCCUAACCCAAUGCUCCAGAGCAUAUUUUACUAAUUUAAUUCAGACUAUGAAGGAACCGGAGACCUGGGGAAUGGUUAGUCUCACUAAAGGAUUUGGACAGAUUCUCCUCGUGUCUGCUGUUGUCAGAAGCAGACAGGGAUGUUGGAGAAGCUGGUCCUCCGUGCAGCAGCCCGGGCCUCCGCUGCAGGGCUGCAGGUUGCACGGCCUGACUGAAGGUGCUUUUUGGCUGCGCGGUGGUCACCGUGCGGCGGGAUGCGCAUGCAGGCCUCAAGGCCUCUACGCGGCUGCAGUUCCACCAUGACGCCGUUAGGUGGCGUCUGACUGACAUUCAUGGAAAGAAAUGUGUCAAAUCUGUGUCCGCUUUGUGUGCAGUUAGCCAGGAACAAUGGGUUUGUACACACAUCAUUUAAUGAUUUAGGCCGCUUUAUUUAAUCACUUUCUCUAAUCAAAACUUCAAACGAUUCCACUCCGCGUGCUUCUGAAGGGAUUUCCUGACUUUCGUCCAUAACACAGAAAUAUGCAUCAAUGCUUUUCUGCCAAAGAAAAAACGUUUUUUUCUUUCCCAACAAGUGAAAGUGGAGCCGAUGCGCCAACAGCUCCAGAACCCACAGACGUCUUCUGUCCAACACUCCACUCUCUUCGUGGUUUAAAUGAGGACUGGGUCCAGCGAGCACGCGCAUUGGACAAAUCCAUGGAUUAUUUUACCCUGGCGCUUGACGUCAGCGCGCAAACAUUCACGCAACCUUCAGGAGCUCCUGCUCCAUGCGGCGUCGGCUCUUCAGGCGCUGUUCUUUGCACCUGCAGGGAUCUGUUGGUCCUGGGAAAGUCCUCGAUCUGCGCUCUCAAACCCGCGCUUGGCACAGAUGUUCAUCAUGACCCAGCGAGGAAAGCGCAUGACGUCAUGUAACGCAGGAGCCCAGCACCAAACGAUGCCCCUUCUUCUUUUCGGGAUGUUGCGGAGCUGCGGCACGUCGUCACGCCGCUGCUGCUGCUCCGCUUUCAUCGUACCGCUGUCUCCACGGGCAGCAGACGCGCGGGGAUCCCAUCACGCGUGAAAUGACUAAGCUGCUUCUGGGUUGGCUCCAUGUUUUCGCAGGAUGUGGUCACAGGUGCACCCAGAAGAAGGUGUUCCGCGCAGCAUCAGGACCUCUGGUUGGAGCUGGGGAGCUCUGACUGACUGAGGUUGGGAUCACGUGAGGACAGAGAGACCCGGCUUUUUUCCUCCGAGGUCUAUGUGGUUCCCAGCUCCACCCCCCAGUUAUGCCCCACCAGCACGCAGGACACAGGCGGCACGUGGCUUCUCACGUCCAUCAAAUGCUGGCAGCCUGCGGAGAAGAGCAGAACCUUUGCGCAAGGAGAACGACGGAGUUCGCAUUUGGACGAACGCGUGAGGCAAAUUAUGCACACCAACAGCUGACAGUCUAGGCGUGUGCGUGGCGUUUGCGUGAGCCUGCGUGAGCGUUUGUAAAAACAAGAUGAAGUGAAAGGAGAGAGAGGCGGAGCGGCUGCUCCCGGCGCACUGCCCGCCAGAUGAGGCCGGACGGGACGCACGGACGGAUGGAGGCGGUUUCUUCGUGAGCUGCGUGACGGCAGAGCCCAGCAAAGGUUUCCAUGAGCAACGAGAAACAAGAGUUUGUGUAUGGAAUCCACUCACUGAUUAUCAGCGGGACUGUUGGAAGCUAUGGCUGAAGGCUGACUCCAAAACCUGAAAGGACCUGAAGUGGACGUGAAGGAGCGACAGACUAUGCAGUCUUGGAAACGCCAAUACGAUGAUGAAAAGCCGCCGUUCCACUGAGCCUUGAAAAGAAAGCAAACAGCCUGUAGCCCAUUUUUUGAAUGUCAUAAGUUCUGGCUUCAUAUAGAAAAUGUCGCGUCCACGUCCUUACAGUCCAAGCCAGAGUGAGCCAAAAGUCACUUUCACAAAGGGCUGCCGGAGUCCAUCCCGGCCCCUUGUGGUCGGAGGUGGGGUCACAUCCUGGACAGGUCGCCAUAUGUCCUCCAUCAACAGGAAACGCCACAAGAACAUGUUGAAAACCCCAAACACAGUUUUCAUUCUAGUGGGUCUCUAAGCAGUUUUUUGCUGCCAUGAAUAUUUGUAUUUUAAUAAACUGUUGAGUUUAAAAAACAAAACCUGGUUUUUCUUCAGCUGAACAGGUCUGUGAAACCCACCCAUGUAAGUGUUGCCUCCUGCCCCCCUCCUACCCCCUGGUCUCCGUGAACUUGGCAGCCCUCUUGACACUCAAUAAAGUCUGUUUUUUAACCCACCGAAAGCCGGGUGGAGGGGUUCAGAACAUGGGUGGGUGGCGCCGAUGGGGAGCAUGUGGCCUGUAUUUAAAAAGUCUUAGAACCUGGAGCCCAGUGUUUCAUGAUAACUGCAGCAAUGCCAUUGAAUUUGGAUGGAAGGAGCAGAAGGUUCACAGGACCCGAGCCAUUCUCAUGCAAACUCUGUCAGGGGCUUCUCUUCUGCUGUCCACCCACCGAGCACUGGCCCACCCCCGUCUUCCACAUGCUUUUAAACGGGCACAGCCCACUGAAACAGGGUUCUCCCUUUGAAAUGUGUCCGAUGAGUAAAACUUAUUGUUCAUUCAAAAUGUGUCCUGUUUGCUUGAAAGUCUUAAAAAUAUAAAAAAGGUCAUGCAGCAAAACCUGCAGAGUAUCUGCACUUUCCACACAAAACAGAAUCACAACAUUUAAAAAAGGUUUAAAAAUCCUUUAAGCCUAGAGCUUUAUUAACAAGAAAGGGUUUUGCAGUUUGCGUUAACUCAUAUUAUCUGUAACUUCCUGUGACCCUGACAGAGCCUAGAUGGCAAACACUGAGUUUUCCUUUUCUCACUGUCACCAUCACAUUUUCAUGGAAGCAUAAAUUAGAUUUGAAACACAAUCAUUUUGAAAUGAACCAUCUUUUUUGGUGAAGAGCACGUUGUAUGAAAAGUGUGAUGUAAAUAAAGACGGAGUGAUUGACACAAGCCUAUA